CUGUCGUCCUUGUCUUUUGAGGACUUGGGAGAGCUGGAGGAGGAAGACGAAGACUUAGGCGACGGUGAUGAGCUGUCUUUACCGCUGUCUUUGCCGCUGUCCUUGCUGGAUUUGGGUGAGCUGGCAGAGGAUUUAGGUGACGGAGAUGAGCUAUCUUUGUCGCUGCUCUUGCUUGGAGCCGGAGCAGAUGAUGAUUUGUCCUUGUCUGAUGACUUAUCAUCGUCGGAUGACUUGGGGGACGGUGCUGAUGGGCUUGGGGCGGAUGAGGACUUGCUGU
rnacentral:lncRNA from 1 species